GACGAACGCUGGCGGCGUGCUUAACACAUGCAAGUCGAGCGGUAAGGCCCUUUCGGGGGUACACGAGCGGCGAACGGGUGAGUAACACGUGGGUGACCUGCCCUCAGCUCUGGGAUAAGCCUGGGAAACCGGGUCUAAUACCGGAUAUGACUCCAUGACGCAUGUUGUGGGGUGGAAAGCCUUGUGCGGCUCAGGAUGGGCCCGCGGCCUAUCAGCUUGUUGGUGGGGUGAUGGCCUACCAAGGCGACGACGGGUAGCCG
rnacentral:rRNA from 1 species